GGCCUUGUGUAGAGGCAGCACGUGCCCGUAGUAAGGGUGGGACGCGGGUUCAACUCCCGCCUAGGGUCG